ACUAAUGACAAAAAUUUGAUAUAUUGAUUUGUCAAUUUGCAGAAAGAGAUGAGGUGAAAGAUGUAGGUGCAGUCGUCAGUUGCUUGUGUGCUAUCCGCCAGCGUGUGGUCAUAUGCAGGCAUUUGCCAUACGAAGGCGAAUAAAGUCUUAAAAUGGCUCUGGUUGCUGCCUCAAAAACAUGGAGGAAGCAAAUACUCAGCAGGGAAGAGGACCUUUUUAAGGCAGAAUCAUCCGUCCGAUCCCUCAAAAGUAAAAUCAGACGGAGCCAGGAUAUGGGAAAACUGGCUUGCAUGUUGGAAGAAAACUGAACGUGAAAGUCGCCUCAGCAAAGGAGGAAAGAUGCAUGCUUUCUUUCAUAAGGAGCCUGUAAAACUGGGGAUCUUGUGUCACAUACUAUCAAGGUCAGACGAGCAGGUUGUGAAGGAAGGACUAAUGGAAAACAUGCAGAAAAUACAAUGCAAUGAAGAAAUGACUGUGAUUAGUGAAAUAAGCAGCAUUUCCAGCAUACCAGCUGCUUCUCUGUGGCUGAAUGGUAUGAAGGCAUCGUCCUGAGCCUAAACUUUAUUGUGGUUGGAAGGAAGCUGCAAUGUUGUUCCUAUGGAUUUUUGGUGCCCAAAGACAAGGAUUUAUCGCAUCACUGGAUGUAAAAUAGACAGAAUGAACAGAAAAUUAUUCAUAGGAACUUUGCUGCUGUCUGAACGCACGCUCUCGUGUCCUUGCGAUGUUUGCCUGCCUUUACCGUGCUACUUUCCGCUCCUCCUGGGCUGUCAGCAAGUUCCUGCAGGCUCUGAAGGCCUAGGUGAUAAAGCAAUGUUUGUGACCUUUCCCCCAUCCUCCUCCACAGUUUUUCCUUUCUCUCAGUGGUGCCCCUCUAGUUUUCCCUGGGUACCCUGUUCCUUGUCUGCACCGCUGCUCUGAUGACUGUAUUUCACAAGGCACAGUUGCUGGUUGCGAUUUCCAGUAAAGAUGGAGCAGUGAUCUUGGGCACUGAAGAAGUAUCUAGCCUGCCUGCCUGCCCUUGAUUUAUGUUGGCUGUGUGGGAUCAAGCAGGGAAGGGUCUUCUGAAAACAAGGUGAAUAAUUAAGCAGAUAGAGGUUGGGAUCAUGGGGGUAAGGGGAGAAGAGGAGGGAGUAGGACUAGCUGUUCCAAGAAUCGUCUGGGAAGGAAUAGGGACAGGGAUCGGCUUUUUAGACUGUUGGUAAGAGGAAGCUCUGAUGUAGAGAGACGUGGAUAAGACUGACCUGAGAGAUUAAAAGAGGCAAUUCUGACUUGAGUGCCAUGCUCAAUUUUGGAGCACGUUGAUAAUGUCUUUAAUAUCUAAUUGCUAUCAUUUCUCUCCACAGAUUCCUGCAAACUGUAGGAUUAAAAUGUAAACAGUCACAUCCUGGUGUGAAUUAGUGCUGACCCAAAGCAUUCAAAGCUCAUGCAUUUGAAUAUGUUUUCUAUCUAAGGUUACCAAUGGCUAGUCAUAAUUUUUCAAGAAACAAAACUCUUCGGUUCACUGAGAGAGUGCCAUAAAAUCUGUCAAAACCAGGGAUCAGGGCAGCUCCACAGAAACUUACAGCAAAGACCAGUGACUCUCCUCCCCCGCCCCCAAUCUUUUUAAGCUCUGAAUCAGUAGUAGGCCUCGAAACUGAGAUAUAUGUGUUCAGAUUCAGCUUUUAGGUAAUGAAUCAAAGACUGAGCUCAUUGUUAAGCCAUGGACCCAUCUGUAUUUUAUGACUUCCAGAGAUACAUACAUAAGGCAUCCCAAAUCAGAUAGUCACUUGUGGCUUCCCUAGUGUUCACCCUCACUUGCUUACUCCUUACCAAAGUACUAAGCACUCUUAGCUGUUGCUGUGCAAUUUCCUGGCUAAAGGAGCUCUGGAAUGUAAAACUGUAUUCAUCACCAGACGUUUUGCCAGAUUCCAGGACUUCAGUGAAGCGGUAAAAGAUCAUUUAAAAUUGGAAUGGCAUGGAGAGUCCUCUGAGUGUUCAGUCAAUUUUAGAUAACUCAACCAACAAGAAACUAACCCUUAAAGAGCACCUGAAUGAUCUGGGAUUUAAGCCUCAAAAAUUGUACCAGGUUGUAAUUACUAAAAUAUCUGCACUACCCCCACACACUGUGAUUCUUUACUGUAAGCUUCUUGAUACAAGAGGUGAAGGGCCAAGUGGUAUGUGGGAACAUCUCUAGUAUGAUGCUUUAACCAUUUAUCCAGAAUUAAUCAACUGAAAUAUAUAGCUAAAUACUGAGAAAUGGUUUUGCAGAAACAGUAAAUGCAUAAGGUGGAUUUUUGAUUUCAACUGACAAAACUGCAGAUGCUACUAGGAUAGAACAAAUGUAAUUUGAAGGCAGGUUUGCUAAAACAAAGCAGUUUUAGUUUGCUAGAAUGGCAGUCCUGGUUCUUAUCCCUGUGCUCAGCCUCAUUCGAGGUGGGGGAGUCUUAGCAAAUUGGAUUGGGUUGAAUCCCUUCAUGUAAACUGGCCAAGAUUUAAACCAUUUCUGCAGGACGGUAAGAAAGGCAUGUUGAUGUUAAAUAUGCUCCAGACGUAAUGUGCUACUUUUGUAUGUUUUGGAGCUGGUUCUAGUUUUCUUUGCAAUAGCUUUUAUGUGCCGCCUAACAUAGCGAUAGGUAAGACCGGAAUGAGGCCUUGCUGUUCACCACCAGUCAGGUGUUUCAGCCCUUUCAUCAUUUUGCUGCUUGGGUUUUCUGGCAAUGAAACCCCCUAAAACUAGUUGGGGAAUCGAAGGACUCUUGCUGCUGUGCAGUCUGACAUGCUUUUUUUGCAUGUUCAUUUAGAGAAAACAUUGACUAUGGUGCCUCCCAGAUUUGCAUCCGGAAACACAUUUUCCACUGCUUUAAUCCACUUGAGACAAAAUGGACUUAAAAGGAGAUUGUUCUGAUUUGGAAGUGUUUUAUGUACACUCUGCAGAGCCGUACAAGCUUAUACAAUAUGUAGGGCAGUGAUGAAUCACGGUCUGUCGUCUUCAUUGCUUCACACCACUAUAACAACAUUAAUUUUGCUGGACUGACUUUUGAUUUACUGGGUGAGAAACCUCCAAGCAAUAAUAUGUUGACCCACUAUCGCCUUCAGUUUUGCUUGCUAUUGCUAUGUCUUCUCAGUGAGCCCUUUGGCAGAGGAACUUUAUAAUUGUGUAUAUUAUGUCAAGAGGAGUGUCAAGAGGAUGAGGCCAAUCUCUUCUCCGUGGUGCCCAGCAACAGGACAAGAGGCAACGGGCAGAAACUGAACCACAGGAAGUUCCAUCUGAACCUGAGAAAAAACUUCUUCCCUGUGAGGGUGACAGAGCAUUGGAACAGGUUGCUCAGAGAGGUGGUGGAGUCUCCUUCGCUGGAGAUAUUCAAAACCCGUCUGGAUGUGAUCCUGGGCAAUAUGCUCUAGGUGACCCUGCUGGAGCAGGGAGGUUGGACUAGAUGAUCUCCAGAGGUCCCUUCCAACCUCAACGAUUCUGUGAUUCUGUGAUAUGUGAUUACAGGAUUUUGUGUGUGUGUGUGUGUGGUUUUUUUUUUUUUUUUCCCCCCAAUCCUUAUCUGACUACUAAGACUUAGAGACUUGUAAUCAGUUUUCUCCAUAUAUAUGAUAAUUCUUCAAGACAUUCAUAAGCUCAAGUUUCUUCCAUGUAGGCUGAGGCCAAUUAGUCUAUAUUUGCUAGAGCAGAUUAGAGGGGUGGAGGGAUGAUUGCAGGUAGCUAAGCUAUUACAUCAUAGCAAGUUACUGUCCCUCAGCUGAGAUGUAGCUUCUGGUGAUUUCACAUACCCUUUUGUUCCCCAUGCGUUGUGCCAGCCCUGGUAUUUGGGGAUUUGAUCUGGCUGAAAAACAGCCAGGAAAAAUCUCAGAUGGCUCAGUUCCCUGAUCCCUUCCAUUAUCUACCUGCACAAAUAGCCGUACUGGCACAGUGCAGGGGGUGGCUCAGGAGCAGAGGUACACAGCAGGGGAAGAACCAUCAAUGCCCAUACUGCUGUCAAAGAGUAAAUCGUUAAGGUAUGCCCCACCAAAGCUGGAGCGCUCACUUUACUCUGUCUGAAGUGGAGGAAAAUGAGGUUCUUAAAUGAUUGCUCUAAAAUCAAUUGCUUAACAGAGUCGGUCUUUGAGGCUAGGGCCUGGUGCCAGGCUUCUUCCCACAGAACACAAGAGACCCUUUUGAGGUGUAAGAAAAUAACCCUUCCCCCCCCCCUUACUGGAAAGGGGCCAUAAGAAUUUAUUCUGAGUACAAGGCAAGAUGGAGCCUUCCCUGGAAAAAAAAAAAACUGAGCGCUUUCUCUGCUUUGAGUGCUUAUAACGCAAAUAAAAUGAUCUGCGUUUCACUCA
ensembl:lncRNA